ensembl:lncRNA
AGGAAUACUCCAUGCAGCGGGGGAGUCAGAGGCAGAGGGACAGUCACCGCAGCGUUAGCUAACGUUAGUUUCUUGUUUCAUCUGGGGUCUAAUAAACAGUCUAGUUUGUAGCAAUGAAACAGACAACACCACUAUUCAACAAUGUUUUUAUUUAAAUACAACAUUAGAAAUGAUAACUUUUACACAACUGAUAAACGUGUCUUUCUGAAAUGUCUCUUUUUUAGAACAAAUAUGAAUAGAAAGACUGUGCCUGUCUCCUUAUCAACCUUAAGACGAAGGACACGUGUAGACGUUCAAAAAAGGCAUCAUCAAAUUAGGACAGACGACUGACAUGGCCAGGAACAGGGGCAGAUGACUGAGUUCUUUGAGGACACUGCCCCACCCUCUUUAGCUGCACAUGCAAUGCCAGAGGUGCAAGUUGUUACUGAAGAUGACAUGGAAUUGGAGGCAGAUUUGGAUGAUGUGUACAUUACUCUGGAAGAAAAUUUGCUGCAAGCGAGGACAUUGCUUUUGUGCCAGUUGACUGGUAUGAUGACGGGAUGGUGUACUGGCCCAGCUGAACGUGUGAAACGGGCAGCUGCUAACGAGGAGAAACAUGAGCCAAACUGGCCAAGAUAUGACGUAAAGGUCGUCAGAACUUGUGACAACUACAAAGACGCCAUCAGGCUAAUUAAUCAAUAUCAGACCGGCUGCAAUGCCUCUGAGCUACAGUCUGAGGCAGAGCAGGAGGGAUAGCUGCCAGAGAAAUGAGUCAGGAAGCCAAUCCAUCGUUUUGGGGACUCUGAUGAGAGUGAAGAAGAGCCAGAAAAUUCGGCUGGUGUAUCAGUUGGAGCCUCAAGCCCAAACCAAUUACACUGGCAGACUCCACCAUCUCACUGAGUGCCAUGCAGCAGAGUCACUACUCCUCAACCUGGAGGAAACUGUCUAGGUAAAGGGGCCCCGUCUAGAUUAAUUGUUUUUCACUGGCAAUCCAUUCAUGGGGUUGAAAUAGGUAGUUCAUACCAAAAUGUUGAAACGUACAAAUUAAUGUUCCCCAUGACCAGUGUCAGGGAAAUUUCUUACACUGAUAAGUUCUUACUGAUUAAAGGACUGAGUCCCCAUGUUUGGAUAAAUAAAGGAAUGUAGGUAGAGUGGGGUCUGGUGUUUGACUCAGGGAGACAUCCUUGAACAUCAUCCUUGACUGGCACUAGUGGAUUAGUUACUCGUAAAUGAGUUAAUCUGUUUAACACUUUUAGGGUCUAUCCUUGGGUGUCCAGACAUUGUGACUCCUAAAAGGUUGAAAAGGAUUACCAUGUGAAUGUGUUUUAUUGACAUACAUAUUACCACACCCCUUUUUACUCUCCUUUAAAUGAUGAUGCUUGUCCUGUUUUAC